rnacentral:rRNA from 1 species
AGUAAUGUCUGGGAAACUGCCUGAUGGAGGGGGAUAACUGCUGGAAACGGUAGCUAAUACCGCAUAACGUCGCAAGACCAAAGAGAGGGACCUUCGGGCCUCUUGCCAUCGGAUGUGCCCAGAUGGGAUUAGCUAGUAGGUGGGGUAACGGCUCACCUAGGCGACGAUCCCUAGCUGGUCUGAGAGGAUGACCAGCCACACUGGAACUGAGACACGGUCCAG